AUACGGAGGAUGCGAGCGUUAUCCGGAUUUAUUGGGUUUAAAGGGUGCGUAGGCUGUGCGUUAAGUCAGGGGUGAAAUGCCGUCGCUCAACGACGGAGCUGCCCUUGAUACUGGCGUGCUGGAGUACGGAUGCCGUUGGAGGAAUGAGUGGUGUAGCGGUGAAAUGCUUAGAUAUCACUCAGAACACCGAUUGCGAAGGCAUCUGACGAAUCCGUCACUGACGCUGAGGCACGAAAGCGUGGGGAUAGAACAGGAUUAGAUACCCUGGUAUUCCACGCCGUAAACGAUGAUGACUAACCGUCGGCGAUAGACAGCCGGUGGCCAAGCGAAAGCGAUAAGUCAUCCACCUGGGGAGUACGUCGGCGACGAUGAAACUCAAAUGAAUUGGCGGGG
rnacentral:rRNA from 1 species